CUGCAAAUAUUCCUGCUGUUCUGAUUUUGUAACAAUUAGUUCAACAUUUGCUAUAUUAAAACCAUGCAUGUGUUCCCAGACCUACUUCUUUCCCUGGGUCUGAUUUUAUAAACGCUGGUGAUAAAA
ensembl:snoRNA SNORA72 Small nucleolar RNA SNORA72